UGGGGAAUAUUGCGCAAUGGGGGAAACCCUGACGCAGCAACGCCGCGUGAAGGAUGAAGGUUUUCGGAUUGUAAACUUCUUUGACGAGGGACGAAAGAAAUGACGGUACCUCGAAAACAAGCCACGGCUAACUACGUGCCAGCAGCCGCGGUAAUACGUAGGUGGCGAGCGUUGUCCGGAUUUACUGGGUGUAAAGGGCGCGUAGGCGGGAUUGCAAGUCAGAUGUGAAAUCUAUCGGCUUAACUGAUAGACUGCAUUUGAAACUGCGGUUCUUGAGUGAUGGAGAGGCAGGCGGAAUUCCUAGUGUAGCGGUGAAAUGCGUAGAUAUUAGGAGGAACACCAGUGGCGAAGGCGGCCUGCUGGACAUUAACUGACGCUGAGGCGCGAAAGCGUGGGGAGCAAACAGG
rnacentral:rRNA from 2 species